CUGAGCGCGGGACUUCACGGGGAAACCCGAGUCCUAGGAAACCGGCUUUAGAGACGCCGGAGACGCGGUGCCAGAGAGGGGAAGCAGCAGCCCUGGAGACGUUCGGCCGCCUGAGAUCUAGCUCGCUAAAGGCACAGGGCAGUCACUGGACUCCCAGGGCUAACCUCUUCAAGGUUGCUUCAGAGCUGUACCAUAACUACAGGCUCUCUACAUCAGCUUCUGGGCUGUUUUUAGCAGUACUCUUCAAUGAUUCACAAGAUGGUGGCUUUGCUUUCUAGACACACGUGGUACAACCCACUCACUGGCUCCAUUGCACCUGCCUGGGUGACUGACCUUAAGGGAAAAAAAAAAAAAAAACUCAUAGAUGCUCAAGCCAGCUGCCCUUGCUAUAGCUUUCUCCUUGGUUUUCUGCACAUGGGCAUUGAAUAAAUUCUAGUGGGUCCCAAUCCCCAAAUUCUCUAA